rnacentral:rRNA from 1 species
CCUACGGGAGGCAGCAGUCGAGAAUCAUUCACAAUGGGGGAAACCCUGAUGGUGCGACGCCGCGUGGGGGAAUGAAGGUCUUCGGAUUGUAAACCCCUGUCAUGUGGGAGCAAAUUAAAAAGAUAGUACCACAAGAGGAAGAGACGCCUAACUCUGUGCCAGCAGCCGCGGUAAUACAGAGGUCUCAAGCGUUGUUCGGAAGCACUGGGCGUAAAGCGUGCGUAGGCUGUUUCGUAAGUCGUGUGUGAAAGGCGCGGGCUCAACCCGCGGACGGCACAUGAUACUGCGAGACUAGAGUGAUGGAGGGGGAACCGGAAUUCUCGGUGUAGCAGUGAAAUGCGUAGAUAUCGAGAGGAACACUCGUGGCGAAGGCGGGUUCCUGGACAUUAACUGACGCUGAGGCACGAAGGCCAGGGGAGCGAAAGGGAUUAGAUACCCGGGUAGUC